AGAUAUAUUUCAUCAGUGAGGGUGAGAAGAUGAUGUAGCAUCAGCUGCACCUGCUCAGAGUCCCUUUGACAUGAGGAAUUUCACUGGUUUUGACAUGGAUAUUUCUCAUCCCAGGGUAUUGCGGACAUCCCAACAAUUGAUCCCUGACGAGGGCAAACCGUUAACUGUGGUGCUGGCUGGCUGUUUUUCCUUUUCACCUCCUGAAACUGGGAAGCAUACCAUAAACUGUGACCUAAGUCCUGCGGUUUUUAAUACAUCUACGAAAUGUAGAGGUUCCAGUAUGUGCAUAUGUAGGGCACUUGUGUUCAUCUCUAAGUGUUUACAGGAUCUCAGCUGAAUUGUGUGCAGUGGAUUCUCUUGCUACUGAAUCUUAGCUGUGUGGAAUCUGAUGCUCUUUCAAACAGCAAAUCCAACCAAAUCAUCACCAGGCUACAGCUGCUGCAUUUUGAAGAGUUUUUUUCCAUCCACAUUGACAAAUUAGGGCCCUCUCCCGGGAAAGAGGAAAAUAUGGAUUUGAGUCUCCUUUGGUUGGAAGAUGAAACAGAAUGUGAAUAAAUGUUCUUGGCUUUAGAGAAGAAAAAUAA